rnacentral:sRNA from 1 species
CUAUUACCAGCUUAAGGAUGUUGAAGACUCGUAUUCGAAAAAAAUGCCCCGAGGAGCAGGCCGGGUACAAGAGGACAAAUAAAUGACACUUUUGGAAGAAGAAAAAAUUGUCUCUGAAACAUGGGAUAUGUUUAGGCGUGUCUUCCACAGGAGUACACAGAAGUGAUUAAAUGAUACACGACUAUGCCAACUUAUAUAAGGUUGGACUUUUAUCAUACUGGGUGUAUCUUCUUUUUGUUUGUAAUGAUAUUUUAGGUACUUUUGGCAUAUUAGUCUAAUUGAGAUGUCAAAAGAUUAUAAUCAUGGGAUAUGUACUGUACAUAUUGUACUAUAGCGUUGUAUCUCCAUGCCUGUGCUGACUUCAUUACUAAUUACCAACAAAUUUUGCUCUGUUAGGUUGUUUUUUCAUUUUUUUUGUAAGUGAAUUCUGUUUCAAUUUUGUUAUUGCUAUUUGAUACUAACGAAUUUCACAACGGUAACACAAUAUUUUGGAAGCAGCAUGAACAAAUUCAUUUGAUCUAGCAAAUAGUUUCCUAUCAGUCUAUGGUUGAGAUGUUUUGUCCCCAUAUCUGGAACAAGAU